ACUGGAUAUCCUAUCAUUAUAAAUUAAAUUCUAUAUUGAACUCGGGUUUUAUAUAUGCUUUCUAAGAAGGAGCUGGAACACUUUGCAAUUAAAUUAUAUAUAAAAAAUUGAUGAAGAAGGAAUUUUAAAAGAAUCACAUAUGCCAAAAAGAAAAUAGGAACCAGACUUAUUUCCAGGGGAGAGAAAAAAUUUUUAUUAUUGUGACACAAUGGACUAUGUUCUCAACAAUAUCUUCAUAAAGUAUAUAUAUGCAGAGUGAAUGUGGCAGAUUUUUAAAAAGAUCUUUGUACAAGGUAGAAAGAAUAUUUCUGAAACAGCAAUUCAAUGGAGACAAUUCUAUAGGAAGAUUGAAAUGAUGUCCAAGCACAGAUUGUCAGGAGCAGGACAAAGAAAUAGAUAGACACAUGUCCUAUGUUCCUGGGUGCUGGUCCAUGGAAACAAGACAGAGUUCUUGUAUUUGUAAAUUCUAGCAUAUGUAGAAAGAGUGAGGUCACCAACACAUCUAUUCUUUGCACCCUAUUUACACUUAUUAAAUUACUGCCAAUUCUAAGAAUGCCCAGUCAACAUUCAGUAAGUGCUAGUCAAUGACAACUUUUAUUCUGGGUUGUCUAGUGAUCCUCUGUGUAUACCUGAAAAGCUUACUUCCCAUCUA
rnacentral:lncRNA from 1 species